GUGGGUAUAGCUCAGUGGUAUAGCUCAAGCUUAGCAUGCAUGAGGUCCUGGGUUCAAUCCCCAGUAUCUCCA
rnacentral:tRNA from 1 species